rnacentral:lncRNA from 1 species
UUUAACACAACUUAUCAACACAUUUGCAUCAACAUUUCACAACAUAAACUCAACAAAUGUACUCAUCACAAUUAACUACAAUAGGCCACUCACCAAUUGGGUUCACAACAUAAAAAUUAACAAUUUUUCCACACUGCAACAGUGUUAACCGGUUAACGCCCUGGGUUAACCGGUUAACGCAGGAAAAACACAUUUUCUGGCAAAAC